rnacentral:tRNA from 1 species
GCCCCUAUAGCUCAAUCGGUAGAGCAUCUGACUCUUAAUCAGAGGGUUGUUGGUUCAAGUCCAACUGGGGGCA